GGGGAAUAUUGGACAAUGGGGGAAACCCUGAUCCAGCAACGCCGCGUGGAGGAUGAAGGUCUUCGGAUUGUAAACUCCUGUUAGGGGGGACGAAGGGCUGCCGGCGAAUAGCCGGCGGACUUGACGGUACCCCCAGAGGAAGCCCCGGCUAACUCUGUGCCAGCAGCCGCGGUAAUACAGAGGGGGCGAGCGUUAUUCGGAAUUAUUGGGCGUAAAGGGCGCGUAGGCGGCUGGGUAAGUCCUGGGUGAAAUCCCUCAGCUCAACUGAGGAACUGCCUCGGAAACUGCCCGACUUGAGGCCGGGAGAGGGUAGUGGAAUUCCCAGUGUAGCGGUGAAAUGCGUAGAUAUUGGGAGGAACACCGGUGGCGAAGGCGGCUACCUGGACCGGUUCUGACGCUGAUGCGCGAAAGCGUGGGGAGCAAAC
rnacentral:rRNA from 1 species